UGUCUCUUCCUUCAUAUCUUCUUUUGGAAUCAAUCAAUAUGAAGUUCAUACUCUUCUUUGCUUUAUCCCUCUUCCUUCAAGGAGCUCUUGGUGAGUUGAUAUGCGAGGAAUUACCAGUUGAAAUGUGUGCGCUUUCAAUUUCGUCGGACGGAAAGAGGUGUGUGCUGGAGAGUCGUCCGUCUGAAGAAGGAAAUAAUGAAGUGGAGUGCCAGACUUCAGAAGCAUUUGCAAGUAAUAAAAUGUUGCAGGAAUAUAUAGAGACAGAUGAAUGCGUUGGUGCAUGUGGUGUUGAUAGGCAAUCUCUUGGCCUUUCAUCAGACGCCCUUGUUGAUUCUAAAUUCGUUGCCAAACUCUGUUCACAUCACUGUUACAACAAUUGCCCCAAUAUUAUCGAUCUUUACUCUAGUGUCGCUUCUGCUGAAGGAUUAUCUUUGCCCAAAAUGUGCGCAUCUCAGAAAACUCGUCCACGCCGUGGAAUGUCUCAGUCCGCAUUCCGAAGUUCAGGUGCCGCUGCUCUGGUCGGUUAUGGCGGUAGUGCUGGUCCAGUUUCUUCCGCAGAUCCACCUGCCGUCGAUGAUCCAGCGACUGGUGCAGCGUCUCCUGCCGGCAAUGAUCCAGUG
rnacentral:misc_RNA from 1 species